UAAUUGAGCCUCUCGGCAUGGGUACAGAGGCUGCGGAGGGAGACCGGAGUUGCGGCGGCGGCUCCCAGUUACUCCCGGUCUCCGCGCUCUGCGCCCCUCCGAGCCUUGGUCUCUCCGCGGCGUCUCAAUUCUGCUCGGCCUUCCGCGCCGGCGUUGCUGAUGGAGAGAGCGGUCUGGCGUGCGAGUGGGGGACGGAGGGAUACGUGGGGCGAUCGGGAAUUGCAUGUGGAUGUGGAUCAAAGAGAACGGGCGCUUGGUUUCUUCCCGGAUCACCCGCGGCCUUGAGGCUCAGGGGGGCCCCCCCGCCGGGGCUCGAGCCUACGGUUGCCCGGCGUGUUCUCUCCAGCCGGGGCCGAGGAUUCCAGCACCGCCGCAGCCUGGGGCCUGAGCCCAGCUGGUGCGCACGCCAGCGGAACCCGCGCGGCGCCCGUGAACUUGGGGCCUGGUGAACUAACGGCUUGUCCGCAGCGCGGCCAGGCUCUCCGGGAGCAGAGGUGGAGGCGGCGGACCGAGAAAACGCGCGAGCCGGGAGCGCUGCGCACUGGGGCCCGUGACGGACAGACGGCACGACGAGCGGGUGGCGGACCGGAGGUUGGGUGCUGCCUGCCCCUAACCCGCCGCUACGGCUCGCGUCCUGCUCUCAUCCGGGCCGCAGGCCGUGGUGAGCAGCCCAGCAGCGAAUUGCGGCUUCCCGUCUGUUGUGCGCAACAAGCCUCGCCGGCUCCCGCGCCUUCCCGGGGUUCCUGCGGCGCGGACCGUGCGCUUGCUUUCGUUUUCUUCUGCCCUUUCUCUAUUCCGUUCUUUCAUAAACACGUAUGUGUUUCCCUUGCGCCUCUGAAACGAUUCUUAGAAGGUGAAUGACUAUAUGGAGCUUUCUUCUCGUGCUUGGUUACCGACAAAUUUUGCAGGGCGGAAUGAAACUCUCGGUGUUUCCAAAGAGACGUGCGAAUUGAGCUGUUUUCUAAUUACAAACCUGCGAUCUCACAGAGCCUUCAAGGUUACGACCGCAAGAAAUAUGAACGAAGAUAAACCCUCAAAUCUUGAGAAUAAAUAUGGAUAACUUUAUUAGUAGCAAAAUUAUAG
ensembl:lncRNA